GACGAACCGUGCGAACGUUGUUCGGAAUCACUGGGCUUAAAGGGCGCGUAGGCGGACAAUCAAGUCAGGGGUGAAAUCCCACGGCUCAACCGUGGAAGUGCCUUUGAUACUGACUGUCUCGAGGGAGGUAGGGGCGUGCGGAACUUCCGGUGGAGCGGUGAAAUGCGUAGAUAUCGGAAGGAACGCCGGUGGCGAAAGCGGCGCGCUGGACCUCUUCUGACGCUGAGGCGCGAAAGCUAGGGGAGCAAACGGG
rnacentral:rRNA from 1 species